rnacentral:rRNA from 1 species
UACAGAGACCUCAAGCGUUAUCCGGAAUCAUUGGGCGUAAAGCGUUCCGAUAGGUUGUUUUGAAAGUCUUGGGUAAAAGCCAGAAGCUUGACUUCUGCGUUUGCUUAAGAUACUGCAAAACUAGAGGGGCAAAGAGGUGCUUGGAACGAAUGGUGUAGUAGUGAAAUGCGUUGAUAUCAUUCGGAACACCGAAAGCGAAGGCAGAGCACUGGGUGCCACCUGACACUGCUAGGACGAAAGCGUGGGGAGCGAAUGGG